UAAAACCAGCACCUCAAGUGGUCAGGAUGAUUAUUGGGCCUAAAGCAUUCGUAGCCUGCUUGGCAAGUCCUCCGUUAAAUCCAACGAUUCAAUCGUUGGGCUGCGGGGGAUACUGUCCGGCUAGGGGGCGGGAGAGGCCGACGGUAUCCUCGGGGUAGGGGUGAAAUCCUAUAAUCCCGGGAGGACCACCAGUGGCGAAGGCUGUCGGCUAGAACGCGCUCGACGGUGAGGGAUGAAAGCUGGGGGAGCGAACCGGAUUAGAUACCCGGGUAGUCCCAGCUGUAAACGAUGCAGGCUAGGUGUUGGCGCGGCUACGUGCCGCUCCAGUGCCGCAGGGAAGCCGUUAAGCCUGCCGCCUGGGAAGUACGGCCGCAAGGCUGAAACUUAAAGGAAUUGGCGGGGGAGCACCACAAGGUGUGAAGCUUGCGGUUU
rnacentral:rRNA from 1 species